GACGAACGCUGGCGGCGUGCCUAAUACAUGCAAGUCGAACGCUGAAGGAGGAGCUUGCUUCUCUGGAUGAGUUGCGAACGGGUGAGUAACGCGUAGGUAACCUGCCUGGUAGCGGGGGAUAACUAUUGGAAACGAUAGCUAAUACCGCAUAAUAGUAGAUGUUGCAUGACAUUUGCUUAAAAGGUGCAAUUGCAUCACUACCAGAUGGACCUGCGUUGUAUUAGCUAGUUGGUGGGGUAACGGCUCACCAAGGCGACGAUACAUAGCCGACCGGAGAGGGGGAUCGGCCUCACUGGGACUGAGGCCCGGCCCAGACUCCUACGGGAGGCAGCAGUAGGGAAUCUUCGGCAAUGGACGGAAGUCUGACCGAGCAACGCCGCGUGAGUGAAGAAGGUUUUCGGAUCGUAAAGCUCUGUUGUAAGAGAAGAACGAGUGUGAGAGUGGAAAGUUCACACUGUGACGGUAGCUUACCAGAAAGGGACGGCUAACUACGUG
rnacentral:rRNA from 1 species